CUGGCCUCAGACAGAUGAACUUAAAAGCCUGUGAGUGGCUUGGGGCUCUUGCUGGAAACCAUGUUGACCCUUCGUGACUUCUUGUAGCCAGCCCGGCUGGUGAUCCAGUGUCUCCAACCCUGCCCUGCCUAAUCAGAUCUCCGGUACCAUAACACUGGACUCCCGCAGGACUCGCUCGCUUGGCUCUUCCCACCCGACGUGUCUGAAUGAAGCCUAUGGACCACUGGGGGUCAGCAGACCACAGUUUGGUGACUCCUGCCUUAAGUUAGGACUUGAGGUGCAAGAAAGCAGAGGCUCACUUGAGACUUACCUAGUGAACUCAUAACUGUGCUGAGAUUUGACUUCUUAUUUCUGCUCAAGCUGAAGAUGGACAGUGCUUCUCCACCUCCCAUCCUCCAUUUCCCUUGCUACAUCAUGUUUAGCAUAAAGCCUGUUCAGAUCUUCAAGUGGGGAAAAAAAACCCUUCUGUCUCGUUAUUUAAAAACAGUGUGGUGGUGAUGAUGAUGGAAACAGUUCUGAGCUGAAGGAAGUUGACCUGCUUGGGUCAACUAUUUUAUCCCAAUCUGCAUCUGUAGUGUAAUUGUUCUUAAGAUUUUAAAAAUAUAUGUUUUUAGUGUUUGAUCGCUUAUUGUAUGCUGCCCUGAGCUCCCUUUGGGGGGGGGUAUAAAUUUUAUAAUGAAUGAAUAAAUAAAAUAUUUUCAGAUUGAGAAAAAAGGAGCAUAAAACAGGCCCAGAUUGGAUACAUACUGCCAUCACCCACCAUCAUUUUAUUAUUCAGAUUGAGCAGUAUCAAAAUGUUAUUGAAGGAUUUCCUUGCUAGCCUGGGUCAGUUCCCCUUUAGUGUAGGCUGUCUCCCUUGCUAGUAAACACUAUUCUUUCUCUGUGUUAUCCUGUCAGUUUGUCCUCUGGGGAAGAGGGAAGGGAGCCAGUCUUAAGAGCAAAGCAUGCUAGUGAGUGGAGAUACACUUCUGUCACUGGAUCCCUUUGUUCCCCCCCACCCCCGUUUUCCUCCUGCCUUUUCUCUGUGCUGAAUUUUGAUAGCAUCUGCUGUUUCUGUAUUCUGUAGAGAAGACACUGCUCUCACUAGAGCCCUUUGUCACCCUCCUCCCUUUCCUUCUGCCUUCUCUCUGUGCUGAAUUUUGAUAGUGCCUGCUGCUUCUGUACUCUGUAGGUGGGUGGUACAUUUUGCAAUGUUGGGUGUUUAGAGUAGUUGGUCCCAGUUAUUAACCAUAAAAGUGGGUUUCCCCACUAACAGCAACACCACUCGAAAUGCCCUUUAAAUGUGAGCUCUUAGUAAAGCCUUCAGUGAUGGCGAAAAUUCCAUAUUUGGUGAUGCAACUGGAAGGAUACAUAACGCAACAGCAAUUUCUAAUCAGGGAGGGCCCCACUGGCUGCAAAACGUAUACAGACAAUUUGGGCCAAGUAUUGAGCAGUGUUGAAGAAUGCUAACUUUGAGACGUGUUCAGAAUCUACGGUUUCCAUUAUAUCAGAGAUGAGCAAGGAUGGGGUGGAAAUGCAACUCAGAAGCAUACACGGACAGUUGUCAUGAGCGUGGCAGAUGCCAAACUGCAAAAUGUCAUACUUUGACCCUGGAAGGACAAAUACCCACCAGCUAUUAUGCAAUGAUUUGAUGACCUAAACACCCUUGCUGCUUUUGAACAUAUCUUCUACAAACACCAGCUUUGUCUGGAUACAUAUUUGGAUGGCAUAUGUUGAUCUAUAUCUGUAAACUGCGUGGAUGUAUAGAUGUUUAAAUGUUCUGUUUGUGUGAGCUGACAGGGUUUCUUUCUUUUCCCCCUUUUCUCUUUUUUCUUUGUCGUCUUUUGUUUCCCCUUAAUGUAGCUGCAAUUUAAAAACCAAUUAAAAGAA